AUAGUACUCCCUCCAUUCCGAAUUACUUGUCGCAGAUAUGGAUGUAUCUAGAUGUAUUUUAGUUCUAGAUACAUCUAUUUCUGCGACGAGUAAUUUGGAACGGAGGGAGUAUAAA
rnacentral:pre_miRNA from 1 species